GGUGAACGCUGGCGGUGCGCCUAAUACAUGCAAGUCGAACGAGACGAUCGAGAAGUUUACUUUUUGAUCUGAAAGUGGCGGACGAGCGAGUAACACGUAAGUAUCUGCCCCGUACUCAGGGAUAACUGGUCGAAAGAUCAGCUAAUACCGGAUGGUCCAGCAAUGGUAAAGAUUUAUCGGUACGGGAAGAGCUUGCGGCUUAUCAGUUUGUUGGUGGGGUAAAGGCCUACCAAGACUAUGACGAGUAGCUGGUGUGAGAGCAUGACCAGCCGCGAUGGAACUGAGACACGGUCCAU
rnacentral:rRNA from 1 species